rnacentral:rRNA from 1 species
GAUGAACGCUAGCUACAGGCUUAACACAUGCAAGUCGCGGGGCAGCAUGGGGGUUGCUUGCAAUCCCCGAUGGCGACCGGCGCACGGGUGAGUAACGCGUAUCCAACCUGCCCUUCACCACGGGAUAACCCGGCGAAAGUCGGACUAAUACCGUAUGUUGUCCAUUGACGGCAUCCGAUUUGGACGAAAGGUUUGGCGGUGAAGGAUGGGGAUGCGUCCGAUUAGCUGGACGGCGGGGUGACGGCCCACCGUGGCGACGAUCGGUAGGGGUUCUGAGAGGAAGGUCCCCCACACUGGAACUGAGACACGGUCCAGACUCCUACGGGAGGCAGCAGUGAGGAAUAUUGGUCAAUGGGCGUAAGCCUGAACCAGCCAAGUAGCGUGAAGGAUGACGGCCCUAUGGGUUGUAAACUGCUUUUAUGCGGGGAUAAAGUGGCCCACGUGUGGGUUUUUGCAGGUACCGCAUGAAUAAGGACCGGCUAAUUCCGUG